GUGCCAGCCGCCGCGGUAAGACAGAGGGUGCGAACGUUGCUCGGAAUUACUGGGCGUAAAGCGCGUGCAGGUGGUCUUCCACGUCCGGUGUGAAAGCCCGGGGCUCAACCCCGGAAGCGCGCUGGAUACGAGGAGACUUGAGGGCUGGAGAGGCAGGCGGAAUUCCCGGUGUAGAGGUGAAAUUCGUAGAUAUCGGGAGGAACACCGGUGGCGAAGGCGGCCUGCUGGACAGCACCUGACACUGAGACGCGAAAGCGUGGGUAGCAAACAGGAUUAGAUACCCUGGUAGUCC
rnacentral:rRNA from 1 species